CCUUCCUGCCACCAUGUGAAAAAGGACAUGUUUGCUUCUCCUUCUGCCAUGAUUCUUCUGGGAGCCUUCUGCAUUCCGUGGUUUGGGUCCCUUUCCUCCAUCUUCAAAACCAGUCUAACAGCAUUUUCAUAUCUCUAUGAUACUAAUUUCCUCUUUUUUGAGGCAUAAACAUAUUUUCAUUGAAAAUCGUGAAGAAUUGAGAAGGAAAGGAGUCUGAAAUUUUAAAUGGAGACUUCUCUCUUGCUGGCUUAGGUAAAGCAAGCCCCACAUGGCAAAGAACUGAGGGACAGACAAUAAGAAACAAGCUCUCAGCCCAACAAGCCACAAGGAAGUGAAUUUUGCCAACAACCAAGUGAGCUUGGAAGCAGAUCCUUCCAUAAUCAAGCUUUGAGACAAAACUGCAACCUGGAUUGACCCCUUGACUGCAACUUUGAAGAGAACAACUAAAUUGUGUCCUUACUGCUGAUCCACAGGAUUCUGUGUUGCUUUAAACUACUGUUUGUGGUAACAUUGUAACACAAAUAUACAUAACCAAUACCAUUUACAUGGUGCUUACUAUAUGUCAGGCACUAUUCCAAGAGUUUACUCUUUUAAUCUACGUAACUCAAGGAUAUAAUUCAUCUCAUUUUAUAAAUAAAGAAGAGAACACAGAGCUUAAAUAACUUGUCAAAGUUCACAGAGCAAGCAUCUCCAAUCAAAAUAUAUAAUAAUAUGCUUCUCUGUAAAAAUAAUAUUUUGUUAAUGAAAUGGAGUUUAAUAGGCCUGUAUGCUACCCACAUCUGAAUUCCACUGAAGUAUUUUCUCACAAAUAUUUUAUACCU
rnacentral:lncRNA from 10 species